rnacentral:lncRNA from 1 species
UUUGGAGAAAUAUUAGUGUUACUAUGUUUAAAAUUUAAUAGAUAGAACCGUAUUUUACCUUUCACUUUGGGACUCGCACAGGAUGUUUGCAGCUCUUGAUAUACAGAGUGUUAAGGGUCUUUAUAAACAGAAACCGCAAGGAACCUGGGAUCUGACAGCUGUUGGAGGAAUGCCUGUGAGGAAGGAGGAGGAACAGAAAAUACUUCGAUGUCUUAAAUGGUACAUACAAACUUAAGUGAAAUAGAGCUGUGAGGACAUUUUGGGGAGAAGUGACCUAGAUAAGCACUGACUGUUGCAUUCAUCUCUCUUCUUGCUGAUUGUGAUGAUUUCCUGUGCCAUAGCCAUUCAAAGUCUGCCAAAAAAG